GAGAGGAGAGGAAGGCGGCCAAUGAUUUUUUUCUGAGAGAGAACUGGCAACUAUAAUACAAAAGACUAUAACGACAGCGAAUCUGAAAAAUCGCGAAUCUUUCUCGACGAUGGUACUCAGAGAAGCGGCAUGAAGAUUCAGCAGUUGUUAUCGGUUUGCGAGAACGAAAGGGAGCGAUACCUGUUGCAUACGUCAGGGAUUCUUUUCGCGCAACGAGCGAUUCUUUUGAGAAACGCCUGUGACACGAGGUUACGCGAUCGUGGUUAUUACGAUCGCGACGACGUGCAUAAAGGAAGAGUGGAUACAAGAGGGAAAAGAAGAGAGAGAGAGAGAGGAGAUAAAUAAGUGGCUACUGGUAUAAGGUGCCAAAGAAAUAGAUGGUCAAACUUUGCUGUUCGUAUUCUUCUACUGUUUUUUAAGAACGGAAGAAAGAGUGUCUUAUGAACAUAGGUAUUUUUCGAUUUCUUUUUUUAUCCAAGGAAAUUGCUGUACGCGGAAUGUCAAGGAAAUAAAAUGGCUAAACUAUU